UACGUAGGGUGCAAGCGUUACUCGGAAUUACUGGGCGUAAAGCGUGCGUAGGUGGUUCGUUAAGUCUGAUGUGAAAGCCCUGGGCUCAACCUGGGAAUGGCAUUGGAAACUGGCGAUCUAGAGUGCGGUAGAGGGUAGUGGAAUUCCCGGUGUAGCAGUGAAAUGCGUAGAGAUCGGGAGGAACAUCUGUGGCGAAGGCGACUGCCUGGACCAGCACUGACACUGAGGCACGAAGGCCAGGGGAGCAAACGGG
rnacentral:rRNA from 1 species